rnacentral:lncRNA from 1 species
AGCUUCACGUCCUAGAAGCGAGUCUCCUCUCUUUCGUAAAAUCGCCCCAACCAAUGAAUACUAAUUUUUUAGGUCCCAGAUGCUGCACUGAGGGAAAGGGAGAAAAAGGAAGAUUCUGGAAAGAGACCUAAGGGAGGAGGGAAAACACAGAUGAAGUCAUGAGGAUGCCACCCCACCCCGCUUCAGACACAUGCCCUUAAAGAAGAGGAAGAGGCCGGAGUCAUAUGUUUGCAGCAUCUGCAUAGCAGGAAAUGGGUCCUCACGGACACUACUUGCAUCAGAGCUUUGAUGUUGUACUUCCCACGCCCUGGAACUGUGGAGAGAGAUCCCUGUUUGUCUGCAUGAGGCAACAAGCUUGUGAGCAGAACCUGCAACUAAGGAUUAUGGAGGUGCAGACAGAAGGAGCCUGGACCUGCCGCUGGUUGCACUUGCCUUCUGGGAGUCGCUUGCCCUUACUCUCUGCCCUUUUCUCUUCUUCUUCUUCUUCUUUCUUCUUCUUCUUCUUCUUCUUCUUCUUCUUCUUCUUCUUCUUCUUCUGUUUUAGAUUUUUUUUUUAUGAGAAAAAUAAACACAUUUCUGGUAGGUCAGCAUCCUGUAGCUUGUAGCCAAGUACAAGCCCUGGAGACAGCAAUGGCUUUAAGUCUUUCAUGUUUCUUUAAAUGUUCUUUAAAUGUAUAGUAGCAGAAGUCUUUACUCACAACACUAAGGAACCAGAGGCAGGCAGAUCACUGUGAGUUCAAGGCCAGCUGCAUAGUGAGACUGUGUCAGAGAAAGAGAGACAGAGAGAGACAGAGAGAGACAGAGACAGAGAGACAGAGAGAGACAGAGAUAGAGUUUUCUUUGAUCAGUAAGCCUGUUCCUCCCUGACAGACAAUGCCCCCGCUAGCACACUGGAAGUCUGUACUAGUGAGGAUAUCCCUAGAAACAGAACAUUCCGUUUUACUGAUCCAUUUACUUGCUCCUGGACAAACAAUACAAAGACCGAGGGUGUUAAAGCCUCUUCUCUUCCUUCCCCUCCUGCUCCUCCUCCUUAUUUUCUAUGUUGUUAUUUAUUUUUUCACAGAUACCAGGUCCCAUCCCACACUGUAUGAUGCAACACAACACACUGUAUGACACAAAGCAAGCAAGUCCCUGGGUGGCCCUUUGGCAGUGCAAGCCGCCCUUCAUUCUUCCAUGUUCACUUUGGAGUCAGUCUGACCAAUUCCUGACAAUUCUAAAAGAAAGAACAGUUUCAUGAAGGGCUUUGCCAGACUCCAUUGUCUAGAUAGCACUGUGUUCUGUUUUGUGGAAGGACGUUUGAGCUGUUUCUAGUUUGGGAAUAUUAAACAUUAUGAUUUUGCGAAUGCUU